AUUGAACGCUGGCGGCAUGCUUUACACAUGCAAGUCGAACGGUAACGCGGGGGCAACCCUGGCGACGAGUGGCGAACGGGUGAGUAAUACAUCGGAACGUACCCGGUAGUGGGGGAUAGCUCGGCGAAAGCCGGAUUAAUACCGCAUACGACCUACGGGUGAAAGUGGGGGACCGCAAGGCCUCGCGCUAUCGGAGCGGCCGAUGGCAGAUUAGCUUGUUGGUGAGGUAAGGCUCACCAAGGCGACGAUCUGUAGCUGGUCUGAGAGGACGACCAGCCACACUGGGACUGAGACACGGCCCAGACUCCUACGGGAGGCAGCAGUGGGGAAUUUUGGACAAUGGGCGAAAGCCUGAUCCAGCAAUGCCGCGUGUGUGAUGAAGGCCUCGGGUUGUAAAGCACUUUUGGUGGGAACGAAACGGUCCGGGCUAAUACCCUGGACUAAUGACGGUACCCACAGAAUAAGCACCGGCUAACUACGUGCCAGCAGCCGCGGUAAUACGU
rnacentral:rRNA from 1 species